rnacentral:rRNA from 1 species
AGGGUUUGAUUAUGGCUCAGAUUGAACGCUGGCGCCAGGCUUAACACAUGCAGGUCGGGCGGUAACAUUUCUGGCUUGAUAAAAGAUGACGAGCGCCGCACGGUCGAGUAAUGCUUGGGAAUAUGCCUAAUGGUGGGGGACACCAGUUGGAAGCGACUGCCAAUUCCGCAUAACGUCUACGGACCAAAGGGGGGGAUCUUCGGACCUCUCGCCAUUUGAUUAGCCCAAGUGAGAUUAGCUAGUAGGUGAGGUAAAGGCUCACCUAGGCGACGAUCUCUAGCUGGUUUGAGAGGAUGAUCAGCCACACUGGGACUGAGACACGGCCCAGACUCCUACGGGAGGCAGCUGUGGGGAAUAUUGCACAAUGGGGGAAACCCUGAUGCAGCCAUGCCGCGUGUGUGAAGAAGGCCUUCGGGUUGUAAAGCACUUUCAGUUGUGAGGAAAGGGGUGUAGUUCAGAACUGCAUUCUGUGACGUUAACAACAGAAGAAGCACCGGCUAACUUCGUGCCAGCGGCCGCGCUAAUACGAGGGGUGCAAGCGUUAAUCGUAAUUACUGGGCGUAAAGCGUACGUAGGCUCUUUGUUAAGCAAGAUGUGAAAGCCCUGGGCUCAACCUUGGAACUGCAUUUUGAACUGGCAAACUAGAGUACUGUAGAGGGUGGUGGAAUUUCCAGUGUAGCGGUGAAAUGCGUAGAGAUUGGAAGCAACUUCAGUGGCGAACGCCGCCACCUGGACAGAUACUGACGCUCAGGUACUAAAGCCUUGAGAGCCAACAGCAUUACAUACCCCGGCAGUCCCCGCCGUAAACCAUGCAACUAGCCGUUUGUUUCCCUGAAAACUGGAUAGCCCACCUACCGCACAAGGUUGACCGCCUGGGGAGUUACGACCCCAGGUUAAAACUCAACUCAAUUGAUUGGGGCCCGCCUAAACAAUGGACCAGGUGGUUUUAUUUCCUGGCACCUCGAAAAACUUACCUUCCC